GGGGUUCUGGCUCAGUGGUAGAGCACUUGCCUGGCAGGCACAAGGCCCUGGGUUCAACUCCCAGCACCG
rnacentral:tRNA from 1 species